rnacentral:rRNA from 1 species
UUUUGGACAAUGGGCGAAAGCCUGAUCCAGCAGUGCCGCGUGUGGGAAGAAGGCCUUCGGGUUGUAAACCACUUUUGUACGGAACGAAACGGUCUGCUUUAAUACAGUGGGCUAAUGACGGUACCGUAAGAAUAAGCACCGGCUAACUACGUGCCAGCAGCCGCGGUAAUACGUAGGGUGCGAGCGUUAAUCGGAAUUACUGGGCGUAAAGCGUGCGCAGGCGGUUAUAUAAGACAGUUGUGAAAUCCCCGGGCUCAACCUGGGAAUUGCAUCUGUGACUGUAUAGCUAGAGUACGGUAGAGGGGGAUGGAAUUCCGCGUGUAGCAGUGAAAUGCGUAGAUAUGCGGAGGAACACCGAUGGCGAAGGCAAUCCCCUGGACCUGUACUGACGCUCAUGCACGAA